UGAGUGCUCUAACGGGGCAUGAAGAGUGUGGGAGCAUUGAGUGCUUUGAGCAGUUUAGUGGCGGACGGGUGAGUAACGCGUGAGCAAUCCGCCUUAAAGAGGGGGACAACGGAGGGAAACUUCCGCUAAUACCGCAUAAUAUUAUACCCUGGCAUCUGGGUAUAAUCAAAGGAGCAAUCCGCUUUGAGAUGAGCUCGCGUCCGAUUAGCUAGUUGGUGGGGUAACGGCCCACCAAGGCGACGAUCGGUAGCCGGACUGAGAGGUUGAACGGCCACAUUGGGACUGAGAUACGGCCCAGACUCCUACGGGAGGCAGCAGUAGGGAAUAUUGCGCAAUGGGGGAAACCCUGACGCAGCAACGCCGCGUGAAGGAAGAAGGCAUUCGUGUUGUAAACUUCUUUUAAGAGUGACGAUAAUGACGGUAGCUCUUGAAUAAGCUACGGCUAACUACGUGCCAGCAGCCGCGGUAAUACGUAGGUGGCAAGCGUUGUCCGGAUUUACUGGGUGUAAAGAGCGCGUAGGCGGGAUAGCAAGUCAGACGUGAAAACUCCGGGCUUAACUCGGAGCCUGCGUUUGAAACUGCUGUUCUUGAGUGUCGGAGAGGCAGACGGAAUUCCCCGUGUAGCGGUGGAAUGCGUAGAUAUGGGGAGGAACACCGGUGGCGAAGGCGGUCUGCUGGACGAUAACUGACGCUGAGGCGCGAAAGCGUGGGGAGCAAACAAGGAUUAGAUAACCCUGGUAGUCCACGCUGUAAACGAUGAAUUACUACGUGUGGGAGGGACUUGACCCCUUCCGUGCCGGAGUUAACACAAUAAGUAUUCCACCUGGGGAGUACGGCCGCAAGGAUGAAACUCAAUGUAUUUGACGUGGCCUCGCACAAGAGUGGAUUAUGUGGUUUAAUUCGACGCUUCGCGAAAAACCUUACCGGGGUUUGACAUUCUACUAACAAAACGAGAUGCUUUAUGUGCCCUUCCUGGAAAGUUAAGAUGGUGGUGCA
rnacentral:rRNA from 1 species